rnacentral:rRNA from 1 species
AUUGAACGCUAGCGGGAUGCCUUACACAUGCAAGUCGAACGGAGUGGCGGACGGGUGAGUAAUAUAUCGGAACGUGACCGGUAGAGGGGGAUAACUAAUCGAAAGAGUGGCUAAUAACGCAUCCUAUUGGAGCGGCCGAUCUCGGAUUAGCUAGUGGGUGGGGUAAAGGCUCACCAAGGCAACGAGCCUUAGCAGGUUUGAGAGGACGACCAGCCACACUGGGACUUAGACACGGCCCAGACUCCUACGGGAGGCAGCAGUGGGGAAUUUUGGACAAUGGGGGAAACCCUGCUCCAGCCAUCCCGCGUGUAUGAUGAAGGCCUUCGGGUUGUAAAGUACUUUUGGCAGAGAAGCGGUAUCUGCAGAAUAAGCACCGGCUAACUACGUGCCAGCAGCCGCGGUAAUAC